rnacentral:rRNA from 1 species
UACGUAGGCAGCAAGCGUUGUUCGGAAUUACUGGGCGUAAAGAGUGUGUAGGCGGUGCUCCAAGUCUGGUGUGAAAUCUCCCGGCUUAACUGGGAGGGUGCAUUAGAAACUGGAAUGCUAGAGGAUGGGAGAGGUAAGCGGAAUUCCUGGUGUAGCGGUGAAAUGCGUAGAUAUCAGGAGGAACACCUGCGGUGUAGACGGCUUACUGGACCGUAACUGACGCUGAGGCACGAAAGCGUGGGUAGCAAACAGG